CCUACGGGGGGCACCAGUGGGGAAUCUUGGACAAUGGGCGAAAGCCCGAUCCAGCAAUAUCGCGUGAGUGAAGAAGGGCAAUGCCGCUUGUAAAGCUCUUUCGUCGAGUGCGCGAUCAUGACAGGACUGGAGGAAGAAGCCCCGGCUAACUUCGUGCCAGCAGCCGCGGUAAUACGAAGGGGGCUAGCGUUGUUCGGAAUUACUGGGCGUAAAGCGCGCGUAGGCGGAUAGAUAAGUCAGAGGUGAAAUCCCGGGGCUCAACCCCGGAAUUGCCUUUGAUACUGUUUAUCUUGAGUGCAGAAGAGGUAAGUGGAAUUCCGAGUGUAGAGGUGAAAUUCGUAGAUAUUCGGAGGAGCACCAGUGGCGAAGGCGGCUUACUGGUCUGCAACUGACGCUGAGGCGCGAAAGCGUGGGGAGCAAACAGGAUUAGAUACCCGGGUAGUC
rnacentral:rRNA from 1 species